UACGUAGGGUGCGAGCGUUAAUCGGAUUUACUGGGCGUAAAGCGAGCGCAGGUGGUUUAAUAAGUCUGAUGUAAAAGGCAGUGGCUCAACCAUUGUGUGCAUUGGAAACUGUUAGACUUGAGUGCAGUAGAGGAGAGUGGAAUUUCCUGUGUAGCGGUGAAAUGCGUAGAUAUAUGGAGGAACACCGGUGGCGAAAGCGGCUCUCUGGACUGUAACUGACACUGAGGCUCGAAAGCGUGGGGAGCAAACAGG
rnacentral:rRNA from 1 species